AUUGAACGCUGGCGGCAUGCCUAACACAUGCAAGUCGAACGGCAGCACAGCAGUAGCAAUACUGUGGGUGGCGAGUGGCGGACGGGUGAGGAAUACGUCGGAAUCUGCCCAGUCGUGGGGGAUAACUAGCCGAAAGGUUAGCUAAUACCGCAUACGACCGAGAGGUGAAAGCGGGGGACCGCAAGGCCUCGCGCGAUUGGAUGAGCCGACGUCGGAUUAGCUAGUUGGUGGGGUAAAGGCCCUACCAAGGCGACGAUCCGUAGCUGGUCUGAGAGGAUGAUCAGCCACACUGGAACUGAGACACGGUCCAGACUCCUACGGGAGGCAGCAGUGGGGAAUAUUGGACAAUGGGCGCAAGCCUGAUCCAGCAAUGCCGCGUGUGUGAAGAAGGCCUUCGGGUUGGUUAAAGGACACUUUAUU
rnacentral:rRNA from 1 species